UACGUAGGUGGCAAGCGUUGUCCGGAAUUACUGGGCGUAAAGGGCGUGUAGGCGGCUUUUUAAGUCAGACGUGAAAGCCUCAGGCUUAACCUGGGAACUGCGUUUGAAACUGGAAGGCUUGAGGAUCGGAGAGGGCAGUGGAAUUCCCAGUGUAGCGGUGAAAUGCGUAGAUAUUGGGAGGAACACUAGUGGCGAAGGCGACUGCCUGGACGACACCUGACGCUGAGGCGCGAAAGCUAGGGGAGCAAACGGG
rnacentral:rRNA from 1 species